rnacentral:snoRNA from 1 species
UGCAAUGAUGUCAUAAUUUGUGUCUUACUCUGUUUGCAGCGACUGUUGCCUGCUGUCAGUAAGGUGGUUCAGAAGAUUGACGAAAAUUGUUACUGAACA